GAAACGGGUGCAGAAAACCCGUGCUCAGUGCAAGGGGAGAAGCGAAGCUUCAAGCAUCUAGAAUACCCUCACCACAAGUAAAAGUAUCGAAGGAAAUGGAUGGGCAAAUAAGAAACCUUACGAUCGAGCGAACCCAGAGAAAGGAGUAAAGCUCGAGGAGAAAGGAAAUUGAUAGGUCAUCUUGGCAAUUUUAGAAUCAGGCGAAUCGACAAAGAGAGGCAAAUCUCGCUGAUGGAAAGAAGGUCGAGGGGAUUGUUGCCGCUGCUGGCAGUCCACGCUGUCAGUGAGUACUAUAGGCUGCCUUGGAAGCCCCCUGUCACUGCAGGGCUUCUUGCCACCAACACCCUAAUUUAUUUGAGGCCUUCGUUUCUCCAUCAUAUCCUCCCUUCUAUCCAUGAGGUCUGGUUCAAUUCCUACCUCAUUCUCAAGCAUAGGGACCUGAAGCGCUUCUUCCUGUCACCAUUCUACCAUGUGGGGGAGUCUCACCUGGUCUACAACAUGAUAUCUCUCUUAUGGAAGGGUAUCCAGUUGGAAUCUUCCAUGGGAAGUGCUGAAUUUGCAUCUAUGGUUGCUGCAUUGCUUACAAUGUCGCAGGGUAUCACACUGCUCCUAUCCAAGUCGCUUCUCCUGUUCUUUGACUAUGGCAGACCCUUUUAUUCUGAAUAUGCUGUUGGGUUCUCUGGUGUUCUCUUUGCAAUGAAAGUUGUCCUUAAUUCUCAGUCAGAAGACUAUACGUAUGUUCAUGGACUGGUGGUACCAGCACGCCAUGCUGCAUGGGCUGAAUUGAUUCUUGUCCAAAUGUUUGUUCCUGGAGUCUCAUUUCUUGGUCAUCUUGGUGGAAUUCUUGCAGGAAUUCUAUAUUUGAAGUUGAGAGGAAUGCAUUUAGGUCCAAAUCCAUUGACUUUAAUAAUAAAAAAUCUUGCCGGCAUAUUGGCCAGGCCUUUAAGAUUUCUAAGAGGCUUAUUUCAAUUCAGGCGGCAGCAAAUUUCUGGUCGGGGAACUGUUGGUGGGAGUCAGGCAGGCAGGAGUGUGUCAAGGGUGUGGAGGUGUCAAGCAUGUACCUAUGAUAACUCUGGUUGGUUAAGUGUAUGCGAAAUGUGUGGAACAACUCGAGGUGACAAUGGAUCGUCAUCACGUCAAUUUUCACAUCAAUUUGACAAUCCCACAAUGGAAGAAGUACGCCGGAGGAGGAUUCAAAGAUUUGGUUGAUGAUCACCAAUGCUUGAAACAAUUGUGUCACUGAUUUGGUCAUGCUGCUCAUUCAUUAUCCACAGCCAAAUGGCGAAUACAGAAAGUCAUGGUUUAACUCUGGUAUGCUGUACGUAGUAUGGUUAGUAGCAGAUUCCCGUGGACAAGCCCUUAGGUGGAUAGCUCCCAACUAAGAGACUAAAUAUAGAUCUGCCAUGAGAUGAAGGAAGAGUGAAGUAUAGUGAACGGGACGGGUGCUGUGCUGUGUAUUACAAAGCAAUCAUUUAUCCCUUGUACUGUAUUGCCGGUUACUCCCGUGGUCAAAACUAUAAGGCUUCCACCAGCCCCUCAACUGGGCUUUCUCUCCCUCCUCUUCGCCCUUUGUAUACUUCAAUUUUUUUAAAUUAUAGUAUGUUUUUGUGGACGUAAUCCAAUUUCAAUCUGUUGUACGCUCUUGCAGGCUAUCGGAUCCGUUGUCUCCUUGGCUAUCAUUUCCAUUCCAACUAUAAAUGCUUUUGCGGGAUUUCUUUGCAUAAAUUGUCCAAUGUCGUCUCCUAAGAGGUGUCUGGAGCCUUGUCUUCCCUCGAACUCUCUGCCCUUGAGAUUAACGAAUUGACCCAACAAAUCACCAAUCUCAGAAUCCAGGAACCUGAAUGGUCUUGCCAAGGUUGAGAGGAGAAGCUUCAGCGAGGAUAAGGUCGCCAAGCUCUGCACGUUUCAGAUGACUGAUGCUAAGGUGAAUACCAGCGACUCUUUGAAAUCCGGAAGCCAUGUGGGCCCCCAUGCUGGCCAGCGCCUCCGAGAUCAGAGCGGAUACUCCGCCGUGCAACACCUUGAAUGGCUGCCAUUUUGAUUCAUGAAGACAUGAUUGGCUAUGUUAAUUUUCUCUCUCUGUAAUUGUAUAUGUAAGACAUGAAGAAAGGGAAGAAAAGAUAGAGACCUGAACGCACUUGUGGGUAACAAGAAGGCGGCCGGUGACCUUAUGAGGGGACAACUCUUCAAUCUCGAAACCAAUCGCAUCAAGUGGGGCAUCGAGCUUUCCUGUGUUGGAGGAUGAGGAUGAUUCUUCCAUCGUAUUUUGUCUCAAAACAACCAAACCAAAGAGCCUAAGCUUUCCUGUCAAGUGUCAAUGGCCGGAUAAGAUAGAAGUUUUCGUUUACUGUUGUUGGUGGAGGUAGCCCAGGACAUGUGCUGAGGUGGCUAUGUAAAAGGAAGGGAAAUGCGAAGGUGAAAGAAAAAAAAAAAAAAAAAAAAAAAA